rnacentral:rRNA from 1 species
UGGGGAAUUUUGGACAAUGGGGGCAACCCUGAUCCAGCAAUGCCGCGUGUGUGAAGAAGGCCUUCGGGUUGUAAAGCACUUUUGUCCGGGAAGAAAUCCCCUGCCCUAAUACGGCGGGGGGAUGACGGUACCGGAAGAAUAAGCACCGGCUAACUACGUGCCAGCAGCCGCGGUAAUACGUAGGGUGCGAGCGUUAAUCGGAAUUACUGGGCGUAAAGCGUGCGCAGGCGGUGAUGUAAGACCGAUGUGAAAUCCCCGGGCUCAACCUGGGAACUGCAUUGGUGACUGCAUUGCUCGAGUAUGGCAGAGGGGGGUGGAAUUCCACGUGUAGCAGUGAAAUGCGUAGAGAUGUGGAGGAACACCGAUGGCGAAGGCAGCCCCCUGGGCCAAUACUGACGCUCAUGCACGAAAGCGUGGGGAGCAAACAGGAUUAGAUACCCUGGUAGUCCACGCCCUAAACGAUGUCAACUGGUUGUCGGGCCUUCAUUGGCUUGGUAACGUAGCUAACGCGUGAAGUUGACCGCCUGGGGGAGUACGGUCGCAAGAUUAAAACUCAAAUGAAUUGACGGGGUCAUA